UCCGUAGGUGAACCUGCGGAAGGAUCAUUAUCGAGUUUUGAACGGGUUGUAGCUGGCCUCUGACGGGGCAUGUGCACGCCUGGCUCAUCCACUCUUAACCUCUGUGCACUUUAUGUAAGAGAAAAAAAUGGUGGAAGCUUCCAGGAUCUCGUGAGAGGUCCUCGGUUGAACAAGCCGUUUUUCUUUCUUAUGUUUUACUACAAACGCUUCAGUUAUAGAAUGUCAACUGUGUAUAACACAUUUAUAUACAACUUUCAGCAACGGAUCUCUUGGCUCUCGCAUCGAUGAAGAACGCAGCGAAAUGCGAUAAGUAAUGUGAAUUGCAGAAUUCAGUGAAUCAUCGAAUCUUUGAACGCACCUUGCACUCCUUGGUAUUCCGAGGAGUAUGCCUGUUUGAGUCUCAUGGUAUUCUCAACCCCUAAAUUUUUGUAAUGAAGGUUUAGCGGGCUUGGACUUGGAGGCUGUGUCGGCCCUUGUCGGUCGACUCCUCUGAAAUGCAUUAGCGUGAAUCUUACGGAUCGCCUUCAGUGUGAUAAUUAUCUGCGCUGUGGUGUUGAAGUAUUUAUGGUGUUCAUGCUUCGAACCGUCUCCUUGCCGAGACAAUCAUUUGACAAUCUGAGCUCAAAUCAGGUAGGACUACCCGCUGAACUUAAGCAUAUCAAUAAGCGGAGGAAAGGA
rnacentral:rRNA from 1 species